CCCAAAGUCCUACAUUCACUUUCUUCUUGCAACUCACCGGGAAGAGCUUCCAGGUGAACGGACUCCAAAUUCCAGAUCAAAGACUGGAGUUGGCCUCCAGGAAAAAGAUUUGACUUGGACAUCCUGGUCAUCCCUUCAAACCUCAC